rnacentral:rRNA from 1 species
UACGGAGGGGGCAAGCGUUGUCCGGAUUUAUUGGGCGUAAAGAGCUCGUAGGCGGUUUGUCGCGUCGUUCGUGAAAACUCCACGCUUAACGUGGAGCGUGCGGGCGAUACUGGCAGACUUGAGUUCGGUAGGGGAGACUGGAAUUCCUGGUGUAGCGGUGAAAUGCGCAGAUAUCAGGAGGAACACCGGUGGCGAAGGCGGGUCUCUGGGCCGAUACUGACGCUGAGGAGCGAAAGCGUGGGGAGCGAACAGG